rnacentral:misc_RNA from 1 species
GAGAAUUACAAGGAAGUUGGUUGGGAGGCCUGUACCUAUCUCAUCUGAGUUUCAACGGAUGAAUGCUGCACUGAGAGAGAUUGCCCAUAUAGCAGAAACCAUUUCAACUCAUGGGUUGGAUGAUCAACAGUUACAAUCUGUCACAAGAAUCCGAUAUAUUACUUAUGAAUGCCUGAGGGAUCAGAUUGCAAGUACAGUAUUUGUUGCAUCAAACUCACAAAGUGAAGCUGGAAAGAAAGUACGUGGAAAGG